AGGGCGAGCUACCCACGCAAUGGGAGUGCGAAUCUCGAAAGCCUGGUCUCAGUUCGGAUUGGAGGCUGAAACCCGCCCUCCAUGAAGUUGGAUUCGCUAGUAAUCGCGCAUCAGCCAUGGCGCGGUGAAUACGUUCCCGGGCCUUGUACACACCGCCCGUCAAGCCAUGGGGAGGCCGGGGGGUGCCUGAAGUUCGUGACCGCAAGGAGCGACCUAGGGCAAAACUGGUGACUGGGGCUAAGUCGUAACAAGGUACC
rnacentral:rRNA from 1 species